UACGUAGGGGGCAAGCGUUGUCCGGAAUCAUUGGGCGUAAAGAGCGUGUAGGCGGCCCGAUAAGUCCGCCGUGAAAGUCCAGGGCUCAACCCUGGAAUGCCGGUGGAAACUGUCGGGCUGGAGUCCGGAAGAGGCGAGUGGAAUUCCUGGUGUAGCGGUGAAAUGCGCAGAUAUCAGGAGGAACGCCAAUGGCGAAGGCAGCUCGCUGGGACGGUACUGACGCUGAGACGCGAAAGCGUGGGGAGCAAACAGG
rnacentral:rRNA from 1 species